ensembl:lncRNA
AAAAAAAUGAAAUAGGUUAUUUAGAGCUGCUCAUCCGCCCCCAGCAGUGGGGUCUUGCACACAGCUUGCUCUGCACUGGACUUUGCCCACAGAGAGUUUUAGCCAGGGAACCUGUUAAUUUUAAACCAAAAGUGUGCACUUCUGCACAAGCAGAUCUGGACCUCUUUUUGGGCAGAAGCUUUUCUCCUGCUCUUGUCUUGCACAGCUCGGGAAAGAGGAAAGGUUCCCAUUGCUAAGCCAGGUCCAGGCCAGUUUUGACUCUUUAGGGGGAAUGAAUUUUCUCACUGUGCAACAUCCAGAGGAAAACAUGCUGAGAAAAUGACCAGAAGUGGGAGUGCAGCAAGAUACCAGCAUCAAAUUUUGCAAGGUCUCAUGGAUGAAUAAUAAACCACUGCAUCACUUCCACAUGCUGUGUUCUGUGGUCUUCAGGAGGAAAUGACCCUUAUCCUUUCCCAAACCAACAGUUAACACACCUUUGUUGAUACGUGUCAUACUUCUGAGGCUCAGAGCUCCUAACAGUCCCUGGGGACUGGCUUCUGCACCAGAGACAAAAAGCUGAGCAGAACGCGCAGAGGAAGCCGUACAAAAGUAACCUAUUGCCGUGCUGUUUGGCUGCUCUUGGCUGUCGAUGACAAGUGGACUGGUGGUGUUAGGCAGCUCCCAGGGAGAGGAUCAGAAGUACUCUAUCUAUGACACCUCGUUUAUGGAAUCCCUGCACUGGGGGCAGGCAGGAGGAACUCUACUGUGGCCAUGCAGCGCUUCUUGCUUGUGCUUUACCAGGAACCAGUGCCCAUGCUGGAGCUGUCUGGAGGUCUCAGCUUGGUACCGAGAAGUAUGUGAAUUUAGCAGAACAGAAGCAAAGGAAGAAGAAACUGUCCAAGAGUUGGUGACCAUGUGUGCUGGGAAGGAUGAUGAAAUAACAAAGGUUGCUGAGGCUUCUUUACAAUGUCUUUUGCUCCCAGAUUCAGACAAGGUCCAAACAGGAUGGACUUCCUCUAAGCCCUUCCCACUGCAGGGAAGCACGUAUGCUGCAGGCUUGGAAAUGAGAGCAAGCAAUAAAACAAACAAAGCCCAGGUCUGCUGCAAGGUGAUGCCAUUUUGUGGGACUGCUACAUAACCUGGCAGUGAAGUCUCCAGGGGUGCAAUUGUGUGCUGAUGGGGGCUCUUCCAGAGGGUGAUUCAGAGCAGAAAUCACUGGACACGAUGGAGGAAAUCUGGACAGUUGGAUGCCCUGUGUUGGAUGCUUUGUCAUUAGUCUAAAGACAGGUUCUCUUUCAGGCUCCAUUUUAUCUCAAUAUGCAGUGGAAAAUUAUACAUCUCACAGUUCAUUUUCUUGCAGCUUUCUGCCACCUGUCACCUGUGAAAUGGUUAGAUGGUUAAACGUGGGCUCUUCUGAGCAGUUUGAUGCAUAAUGUAAGGAGAAAGUGAUAGGUAGCAUCGAUGCACAAGCAUAUAACAUCAUCGAGGGGUUUUGAUGAUGUCAUAAACCGUAAAGGCAGAGAUUGGCUAUGAUAUCAUCACCAGGCCAAUGUGGUUCUUUGGGGUUUUUAGAAGAAGAAAUUUAUUAGAUGAAUAGGUGCAUCUGAUGUUUUAAGGGCAUUUUUUACCCCCAGUCCCUCCUCUUGUUUCUGAUAGAUGAUGCUGCUGUUGCACCUACGAGUUAGAAAAUGAUAGCUGUUCUUAUCAGCAAUGGAUUUGUUCUUUGGAACACAUGUUAUAUGUGGAAUGGAAAGUUGCUAAAGUAUUGUGAGAUUGGCUAAGAAGAGAGAAAUGCACCAGAGGAGGGAUCUCUGAGAAUUGCAGAACAUGUUCAUGCUGAUCUGUUAAUUAGCAUUAAACAACAGUGUAGGAAUGCAGACAGGUAGACAAGGUAGCAAAACUGCAUGAGAUGGAAUAAACAAAUCAAAGAGAUCUAAACCCUCUGAUUUCUGCUCUCUGUGACAGGAACAACUCCUUCCUACAACACUGGGAGAAAAUCUGAUAAUCACAGAUAUUCAGCUCUGAAUAUUUUAUCCCUGUCAUUGAAGUCUCUGUUAUUGCCCACUCUGGGAAGAAAGAUACUCAUCUAGAGAAAAAAGAUCCCUAGAAAAUCAUGUUAAAGUGAUGUUAUCACCGGUAUUAGCUAAAAGUGUCAACUCUUGUUCCUCCCUCCAUCCAUAGACUUCAUUCUUUCAGCCACGGUUACCUUUCUGCGGACUGGAGGAAGUCCAGCCCCACAGCAGGACUUCUCAGAGCUCAGAGGCGUCUCAAUGAGAUGAGUGAUGUCUGCCCAUGUACCCCACAAGCAUCUCUGCCAGAUAGUUUUUUUUGUUUUGUUUUGUUUUGUUUUUCCUAAACUCUCACUCUCAUCUGUUUUCAAGAUUUGUUUACCCUUUAUUUUUCUUUGUUAUCCCUCCCCUUUAGAGGCCUUUAGCUUAAAAACAGUGUGAAAACCAAAUUAAUGCAAGUAUUCUAAUUUUUGUGACUACCAGAAUCAAGCAAACUGGAAAAUGUGCUGUCUUGAGGGUAAAAGAGAGGUGCAAAAACUCUUUAACAGAGACAACUGGUUAAUUAGCAGAUGUGAAACCAACGUAAAAAAACCAGAACCUAGAAAACAAAUGAAAAUCUCUAUAGCAAUUAUUUCCAGAAAGGUAACAUUUUCCCAAUUAAAGCCAUUCUGAGAACUUUAGCUAAUUAUGUAGGUAUUCUCUCUCUCCUUCCCUUUCUUUCUCUCUCUCUCUUUUAUUAAAGUCCAUCAGGGCUCAUGAUGUGUGGGAAAAGUGCUAACAUUUGCAAAUUGCUGGUUUAUGAUAAAUGAAUUGUGGAAACUCAGCCCCUUGGUUGGGGCCCAGCUAGAUUGCAAAGCACCAGCAUCUCCGGCUGCUGCAGCCCUGACCCUGCCUUUACACCCAUUGAUCACAACUGGUGCAUAGCCAUGACCACCAAAUGCAUACAUUGUAGCUGGGGGACUUGCUUUUCCCAUAGUAUUUCAUCAUCGUUCCACAUCGCAAGCACCAUAGUAACCUUUGGCAUGCCGUCCUGUAAGACUAAUACCUGCAGGAGAUUUCCUCCUGCCCCAAUAAUCACUGCUUCAACUGCUCCAUCUUUAAAAAACCCUUAGUCAUUAACCCAGCUUUGAUUUUCAAAAAAUUCCCGUUUAUUUCAAUAGCGCCAGGAGGGGAAGUAAGGGGUGAGCACGUUGGAAAAGCAAAAUCCCUAAAGAGAGAAAAGUACACUGAAGGAUACCAUGGAGUGACACGUAGGGUGUGCUCUCGCCAUUGCUCUUCAUGAUUGCUGAAUGCUCGGAGUGCAGGAGCAUGUACAAGGCCAACAACCCAAAGUAAAACCAUAGUCAAGACUGCACAAGUAUAUAAGGGCCAGGCUCUGCCCCACGUGGGAGAAAAAUCACACAGGUGAGACAUGCAAAGUUAGCCUGGGAAGGAGGACACAGCACCACGCAGCGCUGCAGGGUGAGCUUUGCAUUGGCUUUGGGGACUAUUUAUGGUUUCAGGGAAGACAUAACCGAGAGGAACGCAGCUCUUAGCAGCUGCACGUCAGCUGAGAUUCCUGCACAGGGAAAUUGUUUCCAUUCACACUUUGGAGUCUGUGGCCAGGUCCUGAUCCUGGUUUAAUGAAAACAAUGCCUGAAAGUCAAACGCAUUUUUCUGACAGGCACAUGGAGGUGCUAUUUUAUCUACAGGGUCUGACAGAUGAUGCUGAGCAUAUGUAAAAAAGUGCACGUGUGUGCUUGUACACACGCACACAUUUGAAGCCCUCAAAUUAGCAUUGGAUGUGAAAUCCACCAUCCAUGAAAGAGUCAGGGUAAGAGAUUCUAGUGUCCCAAAGAGGCACAGAAUAAUGAAGUUAUGGAGAGCUGGGAAAUGUUGGUAUUACUUUAUUAGAGUGUAUUGAAGAAAACUGGUGAGCUAGUGCUCUAAAGGUUGUAUUCAAUAAAAAAUGAUUCCUCUGGUUUCCAUGCAAAGCCACUGAAGUACCAAAAAAUCAAUUGUAGUCAUUGAAUUGGGCCCUAAGAUGGAGCAAAAUGGCCCUGGGAUGGAGCAAAAUUCACAACAGUGCCAGAGGAUGUACAGUCUGUGGCCAGGGAACGCUUCCCCAUUUCACUUCUGGUUUUGACCCACAUGAGCGCAGGACUGAUGCAGCAACCCUCCGCUGCCCCCAGCAUUGCCCACUGGCCCCCCAGCCACAUGGGAAAAGCCUUCUGCUUUCUUCUCUGUGCUAAAACUCUCUCAAAAUGGACAAAUUUGGUGCAAAACCUGCAAUGUGCAUGCAAUGGGCUACUUUUAGUUCAGUUCGGGGAGGUCAUUUACCAAUGAAAUGGAGAAAUGGAGGUGGGGAGCCGGACGCAUCUGCAGAGACUGUGCCUGAACACGUUGCAUGUGAAUAACGUGAGCUGGGUUGAAAUUGGUUUUGAAAUCAGAGUUGAUCAGAAAAGUGAAAAGUAUCUGAGGAGAGAAAUGUUGGAAAAUUCCUGCCAGAAUUGGUUGGCAUUUUCCAGGAGCUCUGUUGUGAAUUCAGUGUCUGUGUCGGUUCUCUCUUGUCUUUAUUGGUGCUCUGAAGCACAGGGUCUGAAGCAAAAGUUAUUGAAUUUUCACUAAACCCUCCCUACAAGCAAAGGCUUUUUCUGCUUUAAUGUUCAAAAAAGUCCAAGUCGCAGCCACCACCUCUAGCAUGUGCCCAUAUCUUUUCUCAUUAUAGGCUGAGGUCCAAAACCAAUACGAAUUAAAUAAAUAUCCCACUGAGAGCUGCACUUUUGAAAACUGCCUUAUUGCAGUGCAGAUGUGCGCUAUCUAAAAUGAGCUUAAACGUUUUAUUUAUAUAUAUAUAUAUAUAUUUAAAUUAAGAAAAUAAAAUAAAACCUAAAUAUUAUCCUGGAAGGAAGUGUUUGCAUUGGUGGAUGUUUGAUUUUCAUUUUUCUCCCAGCAUGCUCGAUCCUUUCAUCCUGUAAUGGUUCUUCUCUAUUAAUCCUUCUCAAAACCCACAGGUAGAGAUGCUUAUUGAUAGAAGGCCAACGUGUAUCUCAGUUUACAAAGGCAUAUUAAAGGAUACAAGUAACAUAUUUCUCUUGAUGUCUUCUUAUUAAUGCAAUUCCACUCAGAACAUUUUGGCAUAAGAGGCAUUGCCAGAUGGAAGAUAAAACUUCACUUUUAUGAGUAUUUUAAGGAAGAAAACAUUUGGUUUGCAUCAGUUCUAAAUGAAUAAUAUUUAUUGCCCUAAUGAUUUGUAUUUUAUAACCCGGAUAACAAAAAGCACUGUCAAUUACUUAGUAUUUUAACAAGGAUUAAAAAAAGGUCUGAUAACAUCAAGUCAGUUUAAAUGAUCAAGUGCUUUUAAUGCUAAACUCUAAUAACCCAAAGCAUGGGCUGUUUACAUAAUAAAAAUAAAUAAACACUGACCACAGCUUGGCUGUAUUUAAGGAUUCUGUCAUUUGUUACUACAAGUCGCAGCUCACAGCAUGCUUUGGGGAGCUCAGUGUGUUACAAUUACAAACACAUCAAACGGGCUCAUUGGGGCCCUGCACACAUCAUGGUGUGCAGAGAUGGGGAGUUGUGGGGCUGCUCCUGGGUGAGUGUGGGGAGCAGAGGGCUGCGUUCUCUACCUCUGAUUUUCCCUGGACAUCAGCAGGUCUUCUGUGCUUACAAAAGAUAAUCUUCCUCUGAUCUUUACCCAUCAAUAGUUUGAUUAUAUUUAUCUCUCUCCUUUACUGUAGAUAAUAAAAUUCCAUGUUUUUCUUCUUAAUUUGCAUGUGUAACUCCUGCUGCUGAAUAUUUUUUAUUUGAUGCCAUUACAGGAAUUAAAUUCCAAAUCAAAUCAGCACAUGGAAGGACCACUCUUAUUUCACUGAGCUCAUUCCAGCAGAAGGGGGAUGAGGAGGCUCUAACGCUUGCAAUAUCGUCCAUGUAAGCACUAAAAAUCAUACUGCUGCACCUCAGAUAAGAUUUCAGAGGUGUAGCUGGUUCUGCUGGGAGCUGUCUCUGUCUGUCCAAGUACAUGGGCACUUGGUUUCUCUUUUAGAUGACCUUUUUUAUCCCGUUCCCUUCUGAUCAAGCACUGAGGGCUAUGUGAUGUUUCCCAUUUUGGAGGCUGGAGGGAAAGCAAAAGGAGCCCUUGAACACCGACUGUGUUAAGGUUCUGUUGAAAUAACAUCAGAUUUACUCUGACAUGUUCCAUGGGACUUAAUAUUGAUUUUCAAAUAAUCUGGAACGCUGUUUUUAUAAACAAUUAUUGGCAAGGGGAGGCGUUGUUUUUGGAAGCUCUUGUAUGUACAGUAAGGCUUUAUUUCUUCUUGUUUUGAAGUGCGGCACGUCUUUUAAAAACGCUGUUCAGGAAACAUCUGCUGUCAAUUAAGGAGUAACACAUUAAGGCAUAUUAAAGUGCACUCUUAUUAGUGUUUCGGCAAUAAAAAGAAAGGUUUUCUAUUUGAAUCAUAUGUUCUUUAACACAUCUGCCAGCCAUCUGAAACUUGCAAACGUUUCUCAAUAAAAACAUCUUCAUAACCUUGUAAAAACUUAGUAAUGCAUGGCACUCUGUUUUCUGUAUAUAUAUAUGCCUGUAUAUCCCUUUAUACACUGAGUUCAGGUAAUUCUCAAACAGGUUAUUGGGCUGAUGCUGAUAGUUUUUGAUAAGGACAGUGACUGCGGGCACUCUGCUCAGUCAGUCCCAUUGAACCCUUAAAGGAGAGCUGAUUAGAAAAGCAAAGCUUUGCCUUUUAGUUUUUAUGAGAACAGAAGAAUCAGUCUUUUCAGCAAAAAAAAUAAUAUUACAAAGCAUUUGAGUUGGAAAAAAAAAAAAGUAUUUGAUUUGAAAAGGGUCUGUUGUGUGUUAGAAAACUGUAGUUUUCUACGGCUUAAACUCUCCACUCUGUUGAGAGCACCUUUCCCAAGGCACACUGUGGUGUCUUGUUGUUUAGCCAAGCUGGUGCAUCCUGCAAAACCCUGAUCAGAUUAAUAACAAAUAGAUAGCUCACAGGGGAUCAUCCUUACUUUAACUGCAUGGAUUUCUGAGUAUAAAAUAUCCAAGCUUCAGAAAGACUCAUGAGACUUGGAAACUGAAGCCAAUCAUUCAAAAUGAUGGGAAAUCAUAACAGAUUGAAAUAGAAACUGUUAUUUUUACCAUUGGGACCAUAGAAAUGACUUGUUUAUCCAUGAACUCAGGUAGACGUGCUACUAGAUGUUGGUGUUUGCAGUGAGUUGAUGUGCUCUUGUCUGUUUCCCAGCAAAAGAAGGGCACUAGACAGAUUUGGCUGCAGCACAGCCUGAGGAAAAGUCUGUGUAGAGGCAGAUAACUGCCUUCCUUUGCUGCUGGAGUUACUGUGGCUGACACCUUCAGCCACAGGGUGUACAGGGUCUGACAAAUCAGGCGCUCAAAGAGCACCAUUGGAAGAGACCCCCCUGUUCCAUCAAAUGUACUUUAUGCCUGAUUAUUUUUAAAAAUUCCUUGAGAAAAAGUCAAGCUGACCUUAAAGUGGGUGAGAGAGAAUGAAAACCUGCCUGGGAAAAGAAUCAAACAUUUUGAUUUCUUUCCUUCCAUUGCUGAGUGUUGUGAUCUCGAAGGUGGGGAACCACUGACGUAACACAAGCACAGCUACUUGGUUCAUUUUCUUACUGAUACCUUGGAAGGAUUGUUACUGCAUGGGUCAAAGCCCCAGCCAGUAAGCAAAGGAGGUUUCUUAUGUCUGCAUCUUAAGGAGUUGGUAGCUGUUGUUACUGGCUGGUGCACCAUCUAAUGUUCGGUGAUGGAUGCAUCUGCUUGGCUAAACAAUAGAAAUCUGCCUAAUUAGAUGCUGUUUGAGACUGACCUACUUCUGUGACUCCGGCAUGCAGAUCUUCUCACUGAAGGAUGAUACUUUUCUUCCCUAGAAAAUCACAAAUCAAAGCUUGAACAUGCUGGUUUCUAACAGCAAAGGGAUUGUUUAUAUUUUCCAGAGCUGCAGGGGGAAGUUUGCCGGAGGUUUGAACUACAGAGGGGAAAAAGGAAAUGUAACUUUCAUGCAAAGCUCACAAACUAAAUGCCAUUUGCCCACUGGGCUUGCUCUUCAUGGGGAGCUGCAAAUUGCCCAUUCAGCUGCCAAGCAGAAAAAAAAAUGUAAAGACAAAUGCAUAAAACUACUGUGCUUCUGAGAGGCUGGGAACUAUGUGCUUGUUCAAGCAUGGAAAGAGCGUGCAGCUGCCUUAUGGCGGGGGACUCAGAGGUGGAACGUCUUCAAAGCCCCCUGGUUCUUCUUCUGGUCCCAGUGAACUUUGGAUUCCUCAUCCUGUCCCUUGCUAGAUUUCUUUCAGAAGUGAAAGGGAAGAGCAGUCAGACCUGAAACCAGAGAUGAUGGAUUCAGUGGGGUUGGCGAGGGAUCAGACUGGGAAUGGAUAUCGCUCUGUCUUGAUGCAAUUACUACCAGUGUGAUUCUGACAAGACUUUCUCACUCAAAAGUAGAUAAGCUGGUUUCCCAAGGACCAUUCCCCUCAGCUGACCUACACUUUCCCCAGGUGCUGUUUGAAAGCUAUUUUUCUUAAAAGUUUCUAUAUUAUCAGUUAAGCUAUAACAGCAAUAAUUACCUAUAUUACCAAGUUCAAAACACGCCAUAUUCAAAACAGUCUGGUAAAAACUAGCAUAAAUAAAUGCAGGGUGCUUCUCCCCUUAGGACCGCAGGGUCAAGCUCAAAUAAACUUCCAGUGAGAGGAAUUUAAGGUAGGAGCCCACUUUGAAAAAAUCAUUAAGUGGAUCAGGAAAUGUGAAGUGUAGAUAAUGGACAACCUAACAAGGGAUAUACUCCAGCACUGCAAGAUGUGCUUGAAUAUGGCCUUAUAACCAGAGCUGCUGUUGUACCUCAGGAGGUGCCUAAGGACGUGUAGAAUCCGCAGGUACUGCAGGCCAAAAAGGAAAGUCUGGAGUCCUUUGAGAGGUGGGUAUUGUUCUUAGGAAGGUCUGAUGGUGCCCAUCCUUCCUAAUAGGAUCAAAGUGAACUUCAUUCCCUUGUGGAAGUGUAGAGAAGAACCUCUCAAUAUCAAGCUCUCACUCUGAAAGCCAGUACUUCAACCCUUGAAAUCCCUACCUGUAAAGGUUUGCCAGGAGUGGGCACUCACUGCUGCUUUUCAGCUCUCCUUCAGCUGCCCUGCUGAAGUGAUGAAUACUGCUUAAUUACAAAAACAGAAUUUCUGUCAUUUCUCCCAGCAUGGCUUGUAUUGGGGAAGAUUAAACAUCAGCCAAACAUUACGGAAUUACCUUUUUAAACCUAUUAUUUCAACGUGAUUAACUUCGCUUCUUUUCAUUUAGCUGUAAGCAAAAUCUUGUUUACAAGGCAAAAAAAAAAAAAAAAAAAAAAAGCACUUGCUAUAAUAUCGGCAAUAAUAAUAAAAAUGAACAUCACAGGGAAAUAAUUUAUGUGUAAACCAGCAUAAAAAUGUCAUUGAUGCAUGGGUUUCCUCUUCAAUUAAUAAAAAGGAGGAAAUAUUUAAAAACAAUUUAUCAAGGAAAUACAUACAGUUCAUAUAUCAUGCACUUACAAAGACUGUACUAAUAUCUAUUCCACAAAUAGCAGUGUGACCUGGACUAUCACACAGAUGCUGGAUUCCUUUGUGUGACCUAAUUUGGGGCAGGUGUCCAGGACAAGACUUUGACCUUGUACAGGAUGAAGAUCCUGGGUCAAAAUACUGAUAAAAGCAUGUUCUGUUGGAGAAGUAACAAUUGGUGCUGGUGAGGUAGCCCAAAAUAAAUAAAAUGCAGCAUCAGUGGUUCUGGAUUCAUUCUCUACUUUUGACUGAGAUUGUUGUCAUCACCAUAAAGCCUGAUAAUUUAUUUGCAAAGAAUAAAGCAUUGUCUAUUAUGUGUAUGCUUGUGCUAAGCUGAGAAGUGAUCACACUUCCAACAUAAAUAGAAUCUUGUAAUUAUCACUGUAAAACUGUGUUACUCAAAAAUUCAAGAGUUUAAAAACAUCCAAAAUAGUAAAUUGAGGUGUGAGUCCUCUGCUAACCUUGGAUCUGAGCAGUCAGUUAAGACUGAGGAGGCUUCUGAAGGUCAUUAUCUUCCCUUAAUGGUAUCAGAACAUCUUUUGGGGUAUAAAAUUUUGCAGCAUAAAU